CCAGCUCCAAUAGCGUAUACUAAAGUUGUUGCAGUUAAAAAGCUCGUAGUUGAAUUUCUGGUUCUGGAGUGCGGUCUGCCCCGAGGGGUAUGUACCAGCACGUCGGAGCCAUCCUCGAGGAGAACAUAUCUGUGAUUCAGUUCAUGGGUAUGGGAGCCUCGUCAUUUACUGUGAGCAAAAUAGAGUGUUCAAAGCAGGCUUACGCCAUUGAAUACAUUAGCAUGGAAUAAUAAGAUAAGACCUUGGUCUAUUUUGUUGGUUAGUACUCCAAGGUAAUGAUUAAUAGGGACAGUUGGGGGUAUUCGUAUUCCAUUGUCAGAGGUGAAAUUCUUGGAUUUAUGGAAGACGAACUACUGCGAAAGCAUUUACCAAGGAUGUUUUCA
rnacentral:rRNA from 1 species